rnacentral:tRNA from 1 species
AUGUUGGUCGGCGAGGUGCGGUGCGCCAGGGCCGGCUCGGGAUCGGUCUGCAGAUUGUCGGGCGGCAGGUGGUUGUCCUGCGCGCCCACCACGUGC